rnacentral:rRNA from 1 species
CCUACGGGCGGCAGCAGUAGGGAAUCUUCGGCAAUGGACGGAAGUCUGACCGAGCAACGCCGCGUGAGUGAAGAAGGUUUUCGGAUCGUAAAGCUCUGUUGUAAGAGAAGAACGAGUGUGAGAGUGGAAAGUUCACACUGUGACGGUAUCUUACCAGAAAGGGACGGCUAACUACGUGCUAGCAGCCGCGGUAAUACGUAGGUCCCGAGCGUUAUCCGGAUUUAUUGGGCGUAAAGCGAGCGCAGGCGGUUAGAUAAGUCUGAAGUUAAAGGCUGUGGCUUAACCAUAGUACGCUUUGGAAACUGUUUAACUUGAGUGCAAGAGGGGAGAGUGGAAUUCCAUGUGUAGCGGUGAAAUGCGUAGAUAUAUGGAGGAACACCGGUGGCGAAAGCGGCUCUCUGGCUUGUAACUGACGCUGAGGCUCGAAAGCGUGGGGAGCAAACAGGAUUAGAUACCCUAGUAGUC